rnacentral:rRNA from 1 species
AUCGAACGCUGGCGGCAUGCCUUACACAUGCAAGUCGAACGGCAGCACGGGAGCAAUCCUGGUGGCGAGUGGCGAACGGGUGAGUAAAGUAUCGGAACGUGCCCAGUCGUGGGGGAUAACGUAGCGAAAGUUACGCUAAUACCGCAUACGAUCUAUGGAUGAAAGCGGGGGAUCGCAAGACCUCGCGCGAUUGGACCGGCCGAUAUCAGAUUAGGUAGUUGGUGGGGUAAAGGCUCACCAAGCCGACGAUCUGUAGCUGGUCUGAGAGGACGACCAGCCACACUGGGACUGAGACACGGCCCAGACUCCUACGGGAGGCAGCAGUGGGGAAUUUUGGACAAUGGGCGAAAGCCUGAUCCAGCCAUGCCGCGUGCAGGAUGAAGGCCUUCGGGUUGUAAACUGCUUUUGUACGGAACGAAAAGGUUUGGCCUAAUAAGCUGAGCUCAUGACGGUACCGUAAGAAUAAGCACCGGCUAACUACGUGCCAGCAGCCGCCGUAA